rnacentral:rRNA from 1 species
GCCCUAGGUUUGGUAGAAUUGCCUACUAAGUUUAAGUAUACCAAUAAGCAAAGAUAAAGAAACUUACCAAGAUUCCCUUGUAACAAUGAGCAAAUCAAGAAGAGCACAGCAUAAGAAUCGAGUGCCUAUGACAUUCAAAUUGUAGUAUGGAGAAGCAUCCUCAAUGGUAAACCCAACCUAAGUUUCCUGGAAAGGGGCACAGGGAGGGUGAGAGCCCCAUUGUGCCUGGACCCUAUCGCGCCAUGAAGCAUUGUGUGCGAGUUGGUUUGUUUGGGAAUGCAUCCCAAAUUGGGAGGUAAAUUCUAUCCAAGGUUGAAUAUAAGUAAAAGAUCGAUAGCAAACAAGUAUUGUGAGGGAAAGAUGAAAAGGACUUAGAAAAAAGAGUCAAACAGUGCAUGAAAUUAUCAAGAGGGAAGUAGAUAGGGGCCAGCAAUGCACCCCAGUUGGAUGUGGAAUGACAGAAGCUAAUCCAUUGAUUGACUUGAGGUGUAGACCACAUUGGUUACGGCAGUGGCCCGAGCUUGGGCUUUCGAUAUGCCCGUAGAGACAUUGUCACUGUAAUCAUGGAAUGUAGCAUGCAUUGUCUUAGCAUGCCUCAACACUUGCAUGCUCCUAGCAUCGGCCUACGGGCUCCUUAUCUGCCUCUUCUUAAAACAUGGACCAAGGAGUCUAACAUGUGUGUGAGUCAAUAGGCUAGAAAACUCGUAAGGCAUAAGAAAGCUAAUUGGCAAAGUCCCUCAUGGGUGCACCAUUGAUCAACCUUGAUAUUCUAAGAAGGGUUUGAGUGUGAGCAUACCUAUCGGGACUCGAAAGAUGGUGUACUAUGCUUGAACUAGAUGAAGCUAGAGGAAACUCUGGUGGAGGCCCACAAUGAUAUUGUCAUGCAAAUCAUUCAUGUGACCUAGGUAUAGGGCUGAAAGACUAAUCGAACUAACUAGCAGCUAGUUCCCUUUGAAGUUUCCCUUAAGAUAGCUAGAGUCUUUAGUGAGUUCUAUCAGCGAAGCCAAUUCGUAGCUAGAACCCUCGACCUAUUCUUAAACUUUAAAUAGCUAGGGUGGUGCAGUUGCUUCAUUGAGCAGUGCCAUAGAAUUGAAAGCACCAAAUGGGUCAUUUUUGGUAAGCAAAACUAGCAAUGUAGGAUGAAUCAGAAGCUGGGUUAUGGUACCCAAUUGUAUGCUAAACUAGAACCCACAAAGGUGUUGGUCGAUUAAGAUAGUGAAAUGGUGGUCAUGGAAGUCAAAAUCUGCUAAGAAGUGUUAACAACUCACUUGCCAAAUUGACUAGCCCUAAAAAUGGAUGGCGUUUAAGCGUGCAAUCUAUACUUGGCCGUCGAGGUAGGGGCCAAGUCCCGAUAAGUAGGAGGGGGCAAUGGUGUCACAAAACCCAAGAUGUAAGCCUAGGUGGAGUAACCAUUAGUAUGGAUCUUAGUGGUAUUAGCAAAUAUUGAAAUGAGAACUUUGAAAGCCAAAGAGGGGAAAAGUUCCCUGUGAGUGAGUCCAACAUGAGCUUUGAAAGGCAUUUGGGGUUAAAAGUCUUAAACUAAGAUGCAAUGAUUGAUAGCAACAUUAGGAGUCUAGAGACAUUGGUGCCUUUUUGUUUAAUGGCCUACCCACCUUAGAAAGGGCUCAAUUGGAGGAAAGAUCUAGUGGCUAGAAAAGCACCGCAUGUCACUUGCUGUUUGGGGCACACCCUUAGUAGCCCUUGAAAAUCUAGAGGACCAAGCGCUGUUUAUGCUCGGUCAUACUUAUAAUCAUAAUAGGUCCCUAAGGUGAACUACGUCUGGUUAAUGGAAUGCAGGCAAGGAAAGUUGACAAAAUGGAUCUGUAACCUCAAGAAAAGGAUUGGCUCUGAGGGCUGGGCAUGGAGUCCCAGUCCUGAACCCAUCAGCUACUAGUGCACUACUUAAGCUGCUCUCAUGGUGAGAGCAGGUUGACGCAUGCUAGCUGAAGGAUGGACUAGGAAUGGCUUCCUCAAGGCUCUUCCCUAGGCAAUGAAUAGUGAACUUAGAACUAGUACAAACAAGGGAAAUCUAACUAUUUAAUUAAAAGAAAGCAUUACGAUGAUCCUUGCAGAUGCUUAUGCAAUUUGAUUUUUGUCGCUUUGAAUGUCAAAGUGAAGAAAUUCAACCAAGCACGAGUAAAUGGCAGGAGUAACUAUGACUCUCUUAAGGUAGCCAAAUGCCUCAUUAUUUAAUUAGUAACAUGCAUGAAUGGAUUAAUGAGAUUCCCACUAUCCCUGUCUACUAUCUUCAAAACCAUAGCCAAAAGAAUGAGCAUGGUCGAAUCAGUGGGGAAAGAAGACCUUGUUAAGCUUAACUCUAGUCUGACUUUGUGAAAUGACUUAAGAGGUGUAGUAUAAGUGGAAGCCUUCAGAAGAAAUUGAAUUACCAUUAUUUUUAACAUUAUUUUAUUUAUUCUAUGAAUCAAAAAUGAGGUAUGACCCUUUUUUUGGACCUAAGUCCAGCUUCAGUCAGUCAAUAUAGGCAGAAGACAUCGUCAAGUGGGCAGUUUGGCUAGGGUGGCAUAUUUGUUAAAAGAUAACACAAGUGUCAUAAGAUGACCUCAAUGAGAGCAAAAAUCUCAUGUGUAACAAAAGGGUAAAAAACACCUUUUAUUCUGAUUUUCAGUACAAAUAUGAACCAUGAAAGCAUGGCCUAUUGAUCAUUUAAACCAUUGGAAUUUGAAGAUAAAGAUGUCUAAAGGCUAUCACAAGGAUAACUGGCUUGUGGCAGCCAUGUGUUCAUAGCAACUUGCUUUUUAAUCCUUCAAUGUCAGCUCUUCCUAUCAUUGUGAAGCAGAAUUCACCAAGUGUUUGAUUGUUUGCCCACCAAUAGGGAAUGUGAGAUGGGUUUAGACCCUCAGUCGAAUGAAUGGCCACCUACUUUGCCACACAUUGGUGCACCUUGCUGGAUGGGACCCAUCACACCAAUUGCAUGCCUGCGACACUGACUCUUCAAUGCACCUUUCUGGACAUGGUGCUUAGGUCAAUCGCACUCAAGUGGCACCACCCAUAAUAGACCUUAACAUGAUGGCAUUCAAACAACUUGAUCAUCUUACAAGUUGGGUCUUUUUGGCCCUUCUAAGGUCACCUCUCUAGGUGUGGUGCUCUAGGCAAUGGCCCUCAUGGUGACACCUUAAUGCUUGCUAUCUCAUACUCAAAUGCUCAAAUAUCUGAUGG